UGCCUUUUUUUUUUUUUGGCUUGGCUGUAGGUUUAAUGAUUUUAUUAAUAUUUUUGAAGAACCAACUUUUGGUAUUGUUGCUGAGGCUGGCCUCAAACCUGCAAUCUUCCUGCCUCUUCUAAAUUGCUGGAAUUACAGGUGUGUGCUACCAGUCCCAGCUGAACAAUACACUUUUGAACAAUGAAUGGAUCACACCAAGAAAUAGAGGAGAUUUCUACUUUGAAAUUGACCUAAUCUAGUGGAUUAAAUGGAUUGAAAUGCAUCCCAGUGGAUUGAAAUGGAUCCAAUCUAGUGGAGAGACUUUUUAUUCUUUCAUUUUCAAUAUUUCUGUUUUGAUUCUUCUUCAGAAUUUCUCUUUAUUGAAAUACUCUUUCAUAUCCCAUAUUUUCCUACCGUUAUUCAUUCUUUGAGCUUCUUUUAAUUAAUUGAUUAUUUUAACUAUUAAGUUUUUGAAUUCUUUGGGAUUUUAUCCACUUGGACAUCUAUGGAUUCACUUAUUAGGGAGUUAUAUGCCUUUAGAGGCAUCCUAUUUCCUGGUUUUCUCAUGUUUCCUGUAUUUCAAUAUUGAUGUAUUGAAAUUUAUAUCCAAUUGGAACCCCAUAAAAUCCAGACCAAAGAAAGAAUUUUAAAGGCUAUAAGAGAGACAUACCAGUUCACAAUUACAGGAAAAUGAAUGAGGAUAACAUCAGAUUUCUCAACAGAAACAUGGAAGUCCAGGAGGGCUUGAAACAAUGUAUUCAUGCCCUAACAAAACAAUGGUCAGUCCAUUCAAUCUGCUUGAAUGAUGACUCCCCUACUGUUUUAUGGAAGUCUCUUUAGUAAACCGCUUUCUCUUUACUAUGUGUCUGGAGCCAGGGAUCUAUUUCUG
rnacentral:lncRNA from 1 species